rnacentral:misc_RNA from 1 species
GAUGAAGAACGUAGUGAAAUGCGAUAAGUAAUGUGAAUUGCAGAAUUCAGUGAAUCAUCGAAUCUUUGAACGCACAUUGCGCCCGCUAGUAUUCUGGCGGGCAUGCCUGUCCGAGCGUCAUUUCAACCCUCAAGCCCCCGGGCUUGGUGUUGGGGAUCGGCGAGGCUGGUUUUCCAGCACAGCCGUCCCUUAAAUUAAUUGGCGGUCUCGCCGUGGCCCUCCUCUGCGCAGUAGUAAAACACUCGCAACAGGAGCCCGGCGCGGUCCACUGCCGUAAAACCCCCCAACUUUUUAUAGUUGACCUCGAAUCAGGUAGGACUACCCGCUGAACUUAAGCAUAUCAAUAAGCGGAGGA